rnacentral:rRNA from 1 species
GAUGAACGCUAGCGGCAGGCUCAAUACAUGCAAGUCGAGGGACAGCACAGGUAGCAAUACUGGGUGGUAACCGGCAAACGGGUGCGGAACACGUACACAACCUUCCUUUAAGUGGGGGAUAGCCCAGAGAAAUUUGGAUUAAUACCCCGUAAUAUAGUUGAAUGGCAUCAUUUGAUUAUUAUAGCUACGGCGCUUAAUGAUGGGUGUGCGGCUGAUUAGAUAGUUGGCGGGGUAACGGCCCACCAAGUCUACGAUCAGUAGCUGAUGUGAGAGCAGGAUCAGCCACACGGGCACUGAGACGCGGGCCCGACUCCUACGGGAGGCAGCAGUAAGGAAUAUUGGUCAAUGGACGCAAGUCUGAACCAGCCAUGCCGCGUGAAGGAUUAAGGUCCUCUGGAUUGUAAACUUCUUUUAUUUGGGACGAAAAAGGGCCUUUCUAGGUCAACUGACGGUACCAGAUGAAUAAGCACCGGCUAACUCCGUGCCAGCCGCCGCCGUAACAC